AAAGUUGAGUAUCCUAAAAAUGACGUUAUUUAUCUCAACAUUCAAAAACUAGAGACAGGAUAUAAAAUUAGUCAAAUAAGCCCACCCACACUGCGGAAUUACCUUCAUCUGAAACUUCCAUGUGUGCGCAUUCGAGAAUGUAGCACAACACCAGAAUGUUUGUUCAAAUACUUCAAAAUUCAAUUUUGAGGAUUAGAGUUCUUGAGUGAAGUUGGGCAUAGCAUACCAAAAACCAAGGCCGAAUGUCUUUCACUUCAUUCUUGAAUUGAUUUUGAGGGUGUUAGUGUUCUUGAGGUAAAAUUGGGAAUCAAAUGGUUUGUGGAAGAUGCUUAGGGUUCUUUGCGAUUUGUGUUAGGAGCAUAUAUCUUAUUUACAUGAUUGGGAGAAAUUGAUAGCCCAUGCUUUGUCAAGUCUUGUAUAAUAAAGGUGAAGUCGUGUGUUGUUAAACGUAACCCCAAUCCUCGACGCCAGGUUCAGAGCGCUACAGCGUCGAGAGAUACUGAUGAGGCACCACCCUAAUGGUGCUGCGGCCACACCUUCCAAAUUGACGCGGCGCUGCAUUCUAGGCGCCACAGCCACACACAGAUGCAUUAGGGCGCAAAUUUUGGCUCUUUUUGAGUCCAUAUGAAAAUCCCAUCCUUUAUACACGACAGAGGAUCUAUAAAUACGAAAACUCUCACACUUUGAGGGUUUCACACACUUUGAGGGGUUCCACACAUUAGGUGACAAUAAUCACAUCUUGGGAGAAAAAGGGGAGAGAUUCAAAGGGAGAAAACAACGACAAAUUCAUCGCGUGAAGCAUUAAUUGGAAGAGGAAGGAAUUCUUGGUGUAAGAUCUACUUUUUCUUCUAUAUAUUUAAUCCUAAAUCCGGUGAUGUACUCUAAGACAAUAUGUUGUUUUUUUUUCUUUUAUUAUGCAUAGCUAAAUCUAUAGCUAUGGUGAAUAA
rnacentral:lncRNA from 1 species